GCAUGGCUGAAUUCUGCAUUGCUCUGAUCGUAGUAAUUGCAGUCAGACACCAUGCAAGAUCAUAUCUCACUGUCCUCUGAUUCACAUAUGGUCAGAUAAACUUGUCUAAUCACUAGAUGGACACUGAGCACAUUG
ensembl:snoRNA